UGACACCGUGCAUUUGCUAAAAGAAGGAUUCAAGCUUCCAACUCUCCUUCACGCGCAUGUCUAACUUAAAAAUGCGGACUACGGCGCCGCUCAGUGGACAUAACUGUACAGUCAGGUCCAUCAACAUGAUUUCCUACCGUUCGGCGCUGAUGAUUUUGGACAUUUUUCCGUGUUGUCAAUAAUGACUUUAAUGAUCUGCAAAUUGAUUUAUAGUCGAAAAACUGAAACAUCAUUGCCUACUCAGUAAGACUACUGGGAUAUUAUGGUUCAGGUUUAUGUUUUUUAUGUUCAGUGGAUUUACUUUUGAAGGCCUAAAUAAUAUUAUUGUAGUUUCAAAAAAACAUUCACGGAGGAUAGUUCUGCAGCCUCGCAAGCAACAACUGUUUGCAGAUACCUCUGGGCCACAGCAAAUCUCCCAACGGCCUCGGCUGUGACAAUAUGUUGGUUGAAAAUAAGUCAUAGGAGAAAUCCCUUUGAUUCUGGGGUACAACUCAGAAUCUUGCAUUGCCUUGGGUGAGAACACAGAGGAGGAAGAUAGAGAGCUGCCAUCUGCUUCCGUGUUAACUGCUGGGAAUGCUGACCUCUGCCGGCACUAAGGUCGUCCAAACCUGAUCAAAUCCUGAGUGGCACACUCACGAUCCUCCAGGAUGCUAAAUCUUCAGCCCUGAGCCUCUCACCGAGAGACAGCUUUGAUGUGGCCCCGCUGGGCCGCCGCCCCCCCUGUGCCCUGAUUGGUGGAUGGCUGGCGGGGCGAUGUGGGAGUGGAUGGGGGAUGAAAGCGCGCGGGGCAGCAAGGGGGCACCUGCACACAGAGCCUGGCCUGUGUGGCUCCUUCAUCUUCAACCGCUUCCCCUGACCGCCGGCUGAACUCCCGUGUCAGCGACCAUCACACGGUCGCUGUGACCUCUCCAUCUCUGCCUGCCUCUUUCUCUCUAUUCACUUGGUCUGUCUCUGUCUCUCUCUAUCUACUCACUCAAUCGCUCUGUCUGCAUCUCUUUCUCAUUCCUUCUCCGUCUUUCUCUCCAACUCUCUUUCCAUAUAAGUGUAUUAUGAGAGUGUAGUUGUCAGUUGACAGGUGUAGUAUGUGCUGUGUAUUCAGCUGAAAUAUACAAGGUGAAACAAUAUGUUGCAAGAAUAUUGAUGUCUUUUCCUCUGGAAUUUAACUGGUCUUUGUACAAAGACAGCAUGUGCUCUGAACAAAAUGUAUAUAUUGCCAAUAUUACAGUUAUAAAGCAUUUACUUUGUGUUGGAUCUUCAUCUAAUGUCAUGUCAUACUAAUAUUCCAGGAACACAGAAAUCAGUUUCACUGUAAGGGUGUGGUAAUGAAAAUUGUAAUGACAAUUUUAAAUAUUUGACAUAUUAAGACAAUAUCCAUUUAAUGUGAAGCAGAUGAAAAUUAGCCAACAUCUGUCAAGUUUCAGCUGUAGGGCUGAUUGAUUUGCCACUCUUGACCUCUGUGGGAAUUUGAUUAACCAUAAAAUGGUGCAUUAUGUCACCCCUAAUAGGACCAUUUAGUACUGCCAGAAGGUCAGAGCAAAAAAUACCUCUUUUUCACUUUUAUUGAGAUGUCUCAGCAAUAAGGGCACUGUUUCAGUACAGCUGUAUGCCAAGAAGGCACAAUCAACUACAAUGAACUCCUCUGUGACAUCACAUUUCAGACGUUUCACUGUGUCCAAAAGAAUAUGUGAUGCGAUUUCUUACAAAUACAAAAAUAAAAAGAAGAAGAAGAAGAUAAAAGGAAUGUUGCCAGUUGAUAAUCUCAAAUAAAUGAUGUUUAGUUUGAGUAACACGAUUAUAAAUUCAUUUUGGUUUAUCAUGUUUACAUAUGCUGGAUACAGUAUUUUGGAUGUAAAUUAAAAAUGAUCACAUUUUAA